UGCAUAUGCCAGCAAGAUUUUGCGAAAGGAC
rnacentral:piRNA from 1 species